rnacentral:rRNA from 1 species
UACAGAGGUCUCAAGCGUUGUUCGGAAUUACUGGGCGUAAAGGGCUCGUAGGUGGCCAACUAAGUCAGACGUGAAAUCCCUCAGCUUAACUGGGGAACUGCGUCUGAUACUGGAUGGCUUGAGUUUGGGAGAGGGAUGCGGAAUUCCAGGUGUAGCGGUGAAAUGCGUAGAUAUCUGGAGGAACACCGGUGGCGAAGGCGGCAUCCUGGACCAACACUGACACUGAUGAGCGAAAGCCAGGGGAGCAAACGGG